GACGAACCGUGCGAACGUUGUUCGGAAUCACUGGGCUUAAAGGGCGCGUAGGCGGGCAUUCAAGUCCGGGGUGAAAUCCUCCAGCCUAACUGGAGAAGAGCCUCGGAGACUGAGGGCCUCGAGGGAGGUAGGGGCGAGCGGAACUAUGGGUGGAGCGGUGAAAUGCAUUGAUAUCCAUAGGAACUCCGGUGGCGAAGGCGGCUUGCUGGACCUCUUCUGACGCUGAGGCGCGAAAGCCAGGGGAGCAAACGGG
rnacentral:rRNA from 1 species